GGGGCAAAGUCUUCUUUGCACUUUCGUAGUGCUUUGACGGCUUCACCUUGGAAACUUUAUUACUUCUAAUUGAGGAGCAGAUAGUGGAGACAACUUAGGUUCACCAUCACAGCUUUUCAGCCGCACACGCGGAUACACGCUGUGUCGAGCACGGCUACAGAUGGCUGCGGACGCCAGCAAUGGAGUUCCUUCAUUGCCGAACAUACAUACAUACAUACAUAUGUACAUAGGUUCUUCAAUUAAUGAAGAUUAUCAAGAAUGAAAACAAACCAAGUGAACCGAGUCACAACUCGAACCAGCCGCGCUUCAACGGUAAUAGCAGCUCUUUGCUUCGCUUAACAUAUCUCACAAUAAUCGAGUUUCUUUCUUCAUUCGAAAUGUGAGUGAAUUCUCUUCUCCUGCGACUAGAAGCGCAGUGGUUUAAUGAGCAUGUAAUGGGGAAGCUGAAAGCUUUACGGAGUUUUUCAGCUGCUCAACAAGCGCAUAGAUACCAAAGCGCUUAGAGUGCAAGGGAACGGGGUUACUGCUUCUCGUUUGAUGGAAGAGAGCUUUGAUUUGUUGUUUGAUUUGUUAAGUUCAGAGGCAGGGUGGAAUAUUUCAUAAUAGACGUCGUUGGCAAGGGGAGUGACUCAAAACCCGCUGCAUUUUUCUGCUGAUAACGGCAGUGCAAUAGUCAAGGAGUGGGGGUUUAACUGUAGUUGGCUUUUGCCUUUGUUGCAAUUGGAAUAACUCAUACUGAAGACCGGUUGGCAGGUGGAUUAACGUCUCGGCGUUCCUUCACUUGUUUGGUGGGCUCAGUGUGAGUUAGGCUAUUGCUGCCAAUUCUCAGCUGCAACUGUUCUACCCUAGCCAUGAACAUGACUUUUGCACUCUGAUAUCCGCUCUAAAAUGUGGCAAAACCAAACCCGUUGCAUAUGGAAGUGCUGCCUGACACUUUGUGUUUCGAAUUUAUCAUUCGCGUCUGUCCAUUUGAGCGGCAUUGCAGAGUAUUCGCUGAGUGUGUGGGGAGGCGAAUGGUUCCAAUCGCUCUGUAUUCCUCUCAUUUGGUAGACGAGUGGAUUCUUUUCACUUUAUGUUGGCAGUAAGUCUGUAUGUGACAAAACCAAAAUCGCAAUUUCGCGAUUUUAAACAAAUAAAUCUUUUAAGAUUUGCAGCUACGGCUGAAUUAAAUUGUACAACGAUGGCUAUGCUGUCGCCAUUCGUACAAUUGGCACGCCAAACUGGCGAUCUGCGAGUGGUUCGUACUUCUUCGCAACGUCAGGUGUAUGGCACGCCUACCCCCAAAUGCGCCAAAGCAUUCACUCAAAAACCUUAGCUUAGAUCCGUCGCUCAUUUUUCCUCCAAAAAUGUUGCGACGAUCUAAGCUAUCGCAAAACCAGAACAAAUAUUUCUCAUUUCGCGAUAGCCAAUUGUAGUAUUCAAUCCCAUCGUAUAUUUGCCGAGAGCGCCAAAAUGUGGAGGAUCUGGCCCAUAUUUCGGAUGAAUGGCGGUGGGUAGUACCACCAGCUAAGAUUUUAGAAGAAUCACUGCAUUGCGAGCUUAGACAUUCCAGUUCAAAAUGAGAAAUAUUUGUUCUGAAGACUGUCUUUUUUCAGAGUUCCUAUAGGAACAUAUAUAUACAUACAUACACACAUAUAUGUACUAAAAUUUUUGUAAAUAUUUAGCAUUAAGAU